rnacentral:rRNA from 1 species
GGGUUGUGAGGUUAAGCGACUAAGCGUACACGGUGGAUGCCCUGGCAGUCAGAGGCGAUGAAGGGCGUGCUAAUCUGCGAUAAGCGCCGGUAAGGUGAUAUGAACCGUUAUAACCGGCGAUACCCGAAUGGGGAAACCCAGUGUGACUCGUCACACUAUCAUUAACUGAAUCCAUAGGUUAAUGAGGCGAACCGGGGGAACUGAAACAUCUAAGUACCCCGAGGAAAAGAAAUCAACCGAGAUUCCCCCAGUAGCGGCGAGCGAACGGGGAGGAGCCCAGAGCCUGAAUCAGCAUGUGUGUUAGUGGAAGCGUCUGGAAAGGCGCGCGAUACAGGGUGACAGCCCCGUACACAAAAGCGCAUGUGCUGUGAGCUCGAUGAGUAGGGCGGGACACGUGGUAUCCUGUCUGAAUAUGGGGGGACCAUCCUCCAAGGCUAAAUACUCCUGACUGACCGAUAGUGAACCAGUACCGUGAGGGAAAGGCGAAAAGAACCCCGGCGAGGGGAGUGAAAAAGAACCUGAAACCGUGUACGUACAAGCAGUGGGAGCCCCACCACUAAGCCAGUGGUGAACUCCACAUACGCAUCCUUUGCUGAGGAUGCGGUUAACGGAGCGAAAGCGACGUUCAACCGCAAAAGAAGCAGAGGGGGCUUAGUGGUGGGGUGACUGCGUACCUUUUGUAUAAUGGGUCAGCGACUUAUAUUCUGUAGCAAGGUUAACCGAAUAGGGGAGCCGGAGGGAAACCGAGUCUUAAUUGGGCGUUAAGUUGCAGGGUAUAGACCCGAAACCCGGUGAUCUAGCCAUGGGCAGGUUGAAGGUUGGGUAACACUAACUGGAGGACCGAACCGACUAAUGUUGAAAAAUUAGCGGAUGACCUGUGGCUGGGGGUGAAAGGCCAAUCAAACCGGGAGAUAGCUGGUUCUCCCCGAAAGCUAUUUAGGUAGCGCCUCGUGAAUUCAUCUCCGGGGGUAGAGCACUGUUUCGGCUAGGGGGCCAUCCCGGCUUACCAACCCGAUGCAAACUGCGAAUACCGGAGAAUGUUAUCACGGGAGACACACGGCGGGUGCUAACGUCCGUCGUGAAGAGGGAAACAACCCAGACCGCCAGCUAAGGUCCCAAAGUCAUGGUUAAGUGGGAAACGAUGUGGGAAGGCCCAGACAGCCAGGAUGUUGGCUUAGAAGCAGCCAUCAUUUAAAGAAAGCGUAAUAGCUCACUGGUCGAGUCGGCCUGCGCGGAAGAUGUAACGGGGCUAAACCAUGCACCGAAGCUGCGGCAGCGACGCUGAUGCGUUGUUGGGUAGGGGAGCGUUCUGUAAGCCUGCGAAGGUGGCCUGUGAGGGUUGCUGGAGGUAUCAGAAGUGCGAAUGCUGACAUAAGUAACGAUAAAGCGGGUGAAAAGCCCGCUCGCCGGAAGACCAAGGGUUCCUGUCCAACGUUAAUCGGGGCAGGGUGAGUCGACCCCUAAGGCGAGGCCGAAAGGCGUAGUCGAUGGGAAACGGGUUAAUAUUCCCGUACUUGGUGUUACUGCGAAGGGGGGACGGAGAAGGCUAUGUUGGCCGGGCGACGGUUGUCCCGGUUUAAGCGUGUAGGUGUGUGUUCCAGGUAAAUCCGGUUCACUUUAACACUGAGGCGUGAUGACGAGGCACUACGGUGCUGAAGCAACAAAUGCCCUGCUUCCAGGAAAAGCCUCUAAGCAUCAGGUAACAUCAAAUCGUACCCCAAACCGACACAGGUGGUCAGGUAGAGAAUACCAAGGCGCUUGAGAGAACUCGGGUGAAGGAACUAGGCAAAAUGGUGCCGUAACUUCGGGAGAAGGCACGCUGACACGUAGGUGAAGUGAUUUACUCAUGGAGCUGAAGUCAGUCGAAGAUACCAGCUGGCUGCAACUGUUUAUUAAAAACACAGCACUGUGCAAACACGAAAGUGGACGUAUACGGUGUGACGCCUGCCCGGUGCCGGAAGGUUAAUUGAUGGGGUCAGCGCAAGCGAAGCUCCUGAUCGAAGCCCCGGUAAACGGCGGCCGUAACUAUAACGGUCCUAAGGUAGCGAAAUUCCUUGUCGGGUAAGUUCCGACCUGCACGAAUGGCGUAAUGAUGGCCAGGCUGUCUCCACCCGAGACUCAGUGAAAUUGAACUCGCUGUGAAGAUGCAGUGUACCCGCGGCAAGACGGAAAGACCCCGUGAACCUUUACUAUAGCUUGACACUGAACAUUGAGCCUUGAUGUGUAGGAUAGGUGGGAGGCUUUGAAGUGUGGACGCCAGUCUGCAUGGAGCCGGCCUUGAAAUACCACCCUUUAAUGUUUGAUGUUCUAACGUGGACCCGUGAUCCGGGUUGCGGACAGUGUCUGGUGGGUAGUUUGACUGGGGCGGUCUCCUCCUAAAGAGUAACGGAGGAGCACGAAGGUUGGCUAAUCCUGGUCGGACAUCAGGAGGUUAGUGCAAUGGCAUAAGCCAGCUUGACUGCGAGCGUGACGGCGCGAGCAGGUGCGAAAGCAGGUCAUAGUGAUCCGGUGGUUCUGAAUGGAAGGGCCAUCGCUCAACGGAUAAAAGGUACUCCGGGGAUAACAGGCUGAUACCGCCCAAGAGUUCAUAUCGACGGCGGUGUUUGGCACCUCGAUGUCGGCUCAUCACAUCCUGGGGCUGAAGUAGGUCCCAAGGGUAUGGCUGUUCGCCAUUUAAAGUGGUACGCGAGCUGGGUUUAGAACGUCGUGAGACAGUUCGGUCCCUAUCUGCCGUGGGCGCUGGAGAACUGAGGGGGGCUGCUCCUAGUACGAGAGGACCGGAGUGGACGCAUCACUGGUGUUCGGGUUGUCAUGCCAAUGGCACUGCCCGGUAGCUAAAUGCGGAAGAGAUAAGUGCUGAAAGCAUCUAAGCACGAAACUUGCCCCGAGAUGAGUUCUCCCUGAGACUUAGAGUCUCCUGAAGGAACGUUGAAGACGACGACGUUGAUAGGCCGGGUGUGUAAGCGCAGCGAUGCGUUGAGCUAACCGGUACUAAUGAACCGUGAGGCUUAACCUUACAACGCCGAAG